ensembl:lncRNA SNHG26 small nucleolar RNA host gene 26
CUUUUCGGCCGCGGCGCGUGACUGGGCUUGGUGGAGUUUCAAGAUGCUGAUGAACUUAAGGUCUGGCGCUUGAAAGAAUCAGUGAAGCUUUUCAAGUAGAGGAGGAUUAUGCCACCAUGACUAGAAGGCCCCCUAAUGGAGUUUAUCUGCACUGCAAGGGGCCAGUUGUCUCAGAAUCAUCCUCCGUUGACAUCUCCAUCUCCAGGACAGCUCCACACUAAUCUGUUUCAAAGACAAAAUCCAGUCUAAUCAGUUUGAUGUAUGUUUCUGGGAAUAGAGCCGAAUGUUGUAGCUGAUGGAAUGGAGUCUCAUACCAUUGAUUUUGCAGCUGGACAAGUGCCCUGCCAUGUUACUGCCACUCUUUAAGGCAGAAUAGAGCACAUUGUAUCAUUUAUAGGCCUCUCACAGUGAGAAAUAUGUGGAACUUUGGAAAUCAGAAUCUAAAACUGCAGUCCAAUGGGGUAGCCACUAUUCACAUGUGCUAUUGAGUACCUAAAAUGUGGCUAGACCAAGUUGACAUGUGCUGAAGGGUGAAAAACACCAGGAGUGAAGAAUUAACUUGAAAAAAAUGUAAACUAUCUCAAUUUUAUAUUGAUUACAAAUUAAAUGAUGUUUUGAAUAUA